rnacentral:pre_miRNA from 1 species
UCAUUCAAAGUGAGGAUUAGAGGGAACUGAAUCAUCCAUUUGGAACAAAAAAAAAUAUCAGUGAUUCAGUUUCUUCUAAUAUCUCAUAUUGGAUGG